GAUGAACGCUGGCGGCGUGCCUAAUACAUGCCAGUCGAGCGAACGGACGAGAAGCUUGCUUCUCUGAUGUUAGCGGCGGACGGGUGAGUAACACGUGGAUAACCUACCUAUAAGACUGGGAUAACUUCGGGAAACCGUAGCUAAUACCGGAUAAUAUUUUGAACCGCAUGGUUCAAAAGUGAAAGACGGUCUUGCUGUCACUUAUAGAUGGAUCCGCGCUGCAUUAGCUAGUUGGUAAGGUAACGGCUUACCAAGGCAACGAUGCAUAGCCGACCUGAGAGGGUGAUCGGCCACACUGGAACUGAGACACGGUCCAGACUCCUACGGGAGGCAGCAGUAGGGAAUCUUCCGCAAUGGGCGAAAGCCUGACGGAGCAACGCCGCGUGAGUGAUGAAGGUCUUCGGAUCGUAAAACUCUGUUAUUAGGGAAGAACAUAUGUGUAAGUAACUGUGCACAUCUUGACGGUACCUAAUCAGGAAGCCACGGCUAACUACGUG
rnacentral:rRNA from 1 species